rnacentral:rRNA from 1 species
GUGGGGAAUAUUGGACAAUGGGGGGAACCCUGAUCCAGCCAUGCCGCGUGUGUGAAGAAGGCCUUUUGGUUGUAAAGCACUUUAAGCGAGGAGGAGGCUACCGAGAUUAAUACUCUUGGAUAGUGGACGUUACUCGCAGAAUAAGCACCGGCUAACUCUGUGCCAGCAGCCGCGGUAAUACAGAGGGUGCAAGCGUUAAUCGGAUUUACUGGGCGUAAAGCGCGCGUAGGUGGCCAAUUAAGUCAAAUGUGAAAUCCCCGAGCUUAACUUGGGAAUUGCAUUCGAUACUGGUAGGCUAGAGUAUGGGAGAGGAUGGUAGAAUUCCAGGUGUAGCGGUGACAUGCGUAGAGAUCUGGAGGAAUACCGAUGGCGAAGGCAGCCAUCUGGCCUAAUACUGGCACUGAGGUGCGAAAGCAUGGGGAGCAAACAGGAUUAGAUACCCCUGUAGUCC